rnacentral:rRNA from 1 species
UACGUAGGGCGCAAGCGUUAUCCGGAUUUACUGGGUUUAAAGGGUGCGUAGGCGGGACGACCAGUCGGCGAUGAAAUGACGGGGCUUAACCUUAGUCGCCGUUGCCGAAACUGUCGUUCUUGAGAGCGCAUGAGGCGGCCGGAAUGAGCGGUGUAGCGGUGAAAUGCGUAGAGAUCGCUCAGAACACCGAUUGCGAAGGCAAGCCGCCGGGGCGCUUCUGACGCUGAGGCACGAAAGCGUGGGGAGCAAACAGG